rnacentral:tRNA from 1 species
GGAGAGGUGCCAGAGUGGCCGAUCGGGCCGGUCUCGAAAACCGGAGUAGUGUAACAGCUACCGUGGGUUCGAAUCCCACCCUCUCCG